GUUGGUUUUACCCGAAGCCGGUGCGCUAACCGCAAGGAGGCAGCCGACCACGGUAAGGUCAGCGACUGGGGUGAAGUCGUAACAAGGUAGCCCUAGGGGAACCUGGGGCUGGAUCACCUCCUUU
rnacentral:rRNA from 1 species